rnacentral:rRNA from 1 species
UACAGAGGUCUCAAGCGUUUGUUCGGAUUCAUUGGGCGUAAAGGGUGCGUAGGCGGCGCGGUAAGUCGGGUGUGAAAUCUUGGAGCUUAACUCCGAAACUGCAUUCGAUACUGCCGUGCUUGAGGACUGGAGAGGAGACUGGAAUUUACGGUGUAGCGGUGAAAUGCGUAGAUAUCGUAAGGGAAGACCAGUGGCGGAAGCGGGUCUCUGGACAGUUCCUGACGCUGAG